CACGUAGGGGGCGAGCGUUGUCCGGAUUUAUUGGACGUAAAGAGCUCGUAGGCGGCGCGGUAAGUCGGGUGUGAAAUCUCGGAGCUUAACUCCGAAACUGCAUUCGAUACUGCCGUGCUUGAGGACUGGAGAGGAGACUGGAAUUUACGGUGUAGCGGUGAAAUGCGUAGAUAUCGUAAGGAAGACCAGUGGCGAAGGCGGGUCUCUGGACAGUUCCUGACGCUGAGGCACGAAGGUCAGGGGAGCAAACGGG
rnacentral:rRNA from 1 species